UAUAAUACUUUUUACUUUGCACUGAUGUUGUGUCUAGGAACAAUAUAGAACUGAAAUGAAAUGCAAAUCAAAUUUAAGCCUGUGACUCACUUUUGCAUGCAUAAUAUGUUGUAUACUUGCACUUGUACACUUAUGUCAUCCACAGUCUGCAGUCUCUCUUGUCAGCCCAGAGCAGAUAGCCAUCUUGCCGUUUAUGUCAGACCUCUCUCUAUGGUCUCUAUGGAGUGAAUGUUUUCUCUGUCUACCUCCACAUUGAAAGUCUGUUCAUUUUUUCUUUUCUUCUUCUUUUUUCUUCCUGGCAGCACCUAGAGAGCUCAGAGUAUCUCUCUUUUUCCUCUCCCAGAUGGUUGGAGAUAGCAGCUCUCCAGUUGCUGACAUAGAACGGUCCCUGUUCUUUGUUUCCACUGGUGACAAGCAGAGCGGAUGGUGGCUUUUUCAGUAGGUCCUCCAUCAGGUCUUAUCAGCUCUCCUCAGACUGCGGACUGUGACUCAUUCAGGAGGCCCUCGUCUGACACAUCUGAAGCCCAUCGAUGUGGCUGUGAAUGUUAACUUCUGCAGAUUCAACUCCUCUCCAUCUUCAACUUAUUGCUGCUACAGUCGUUCUGCUCAGAAAAGACUUGUACCCUUCACGAACCUGUGUGUGUGCAGGAAAAGGCCGACAUGCUGAAUUCUUCUGAAAUCUUUCUGUUCUGAACUGACAGAACAGAAUUAUAGCUCAAUGUGAUCCUAUGUGGUUAACAAAUUCAUAGUGUGAACGUCCAAUAUGCUGAGUUGACAGAAGGUUGUAGCUCAGUGAACUGUGUAGUGACAUAAAUCAGGUAAGAUUCUGCUCACCAAACAUGGUUUAACAACAACUGCUGUAAGUGUAACCUUUAAUCUUUAAUGUUUUUAAUACCCUAUUCUACUGUUUGAUAGAAAUCAUAUCUCAAAUUGACUGGAUUGAUAGGGAACAUUGCCUAAUAAUGCCAAUAGCCAAUCCCAGAAACAAAGCCAUAGACUGUAUUUAGUUUCUAGCCAUAGACUGUAUUUUUUAAAAAUGGACGUAGUGUCUGUGACAUCACCCAUAGGUUUCUGAAGAACCGUUGUGAAGCUCAAAGUGGGUGGCUCUGGCCGUCGCCAUCUUGGCAGUGCCUGACAGUUAAUUCAAAAAUGGGCAAAAAGGUGGAGCUGAGGCAAGCUGAAUGAAGCCUGGUUGAUGAAACCACCUGGCGGCAAGCCACCUGAUAGGGCACCCACCUAUAUAAGUUAUAAGUUAAUUGAAACAGUCCAACAUGAAGCCGGUGUAUAUUUGGUGCUGAUACUGUAUGCAUGGUCAAAAUGAGGGAUUCAAACAGAUGAAAGUGACCCAAGAUAUAAGCUACCUAACCGCAAACAUUUCUCUCACACUCUUUCACACAAAGGGUUUAUACUGACAAUAUUUAAUAUUUAAGUAUAUUUUUGUGUCCUUUAUUUCACAUUUAAUUUAUUUCACAUUUGUUAAAAACUGAUUUCCUGUUUGCCUUCCAUACACAUCGUAAUCAUUUUCCAUGCUCUGAAUCUACUACUUAGGAAUUUAAGCUUGAAGGAAUCUUUCAGCUCCACAGAAAUAUUGACUUGAUUUAUAUUGUGACAUAUCGUAUGGACUACUACGACAAACAGGUUUGUUGUAGAAGUUUUUCUCCAUAUUGCCCAGGCCUGCUUACUUACCAGUUUAUUUUCCCUUUCAUCUCUCAUUUGUAUAUUCGUUCUUCAUUCUUUUUCCCUCGUUCCCCUCUUUCCCUUUAUCUCUCUCUGGUUGGUGUGGUCCAUUGGUAUGCAGGGUGAUAUUGGCUGGUGUUUGCAGGGGAAGGAUAAAGCGGUAAUCAGUGCCAAUGAAGCAGCUCUUGUCCCAGAGCACAAAUGUGCCAACAUCAGCAACACCACCAGACCAUGUGUGUCAGUGUGUAUGUGUAUGCGUCUUUGUGUGACAGAAAGGGAGCAGUAUCAAAGAGGUCAGACAGAGGUCAUUGUCUUCGACACAAAUGUUAUAUGACUGCUUUUCUCUUGUGCACAGUGCCGGCUGUGCAAUAUGAUCACUGCUAUCAAAAUGUAAUGGUUAGCUUUCCUAUAUUUUUAUGGUCCCAUCUCACUCUUGACCACGCUGAAUUAAUUGGGAGGAAGAAUUGUUCUUUCCAGAGACAUACAGUAUGUCAUACUCACUAGACCUAAAUGUUAUCCUUGUACAACCUUAGCCCCAUUGCAUGGUACUGAUGCAACUGUUGUGAAAUUUAUUCUAGGAUGACUGUUAGGAAAAUAUGAAACCAAAUGCAUUUGUUAUUUUUGUUUCCUUAUUAUCGGAGAAGCGAAGAUUUUAAUAAACAGUGCAAUACAAA